rnacentral:rRNA from 1 species
UACGAAGGGGGCUAGCGUUGCUCGGAAUCACUGGGCGUAAAGGGCGCGUAGGCGGCCAUUCAAGUCAGGGGUGAAAGCCUGUGGCUCAACCACAGAAUUGCCUUUGAUACUGUUUGGCUAGAGACCGGAAGAGGUAAGUGGAACUGCGAGUGUAGAGGUGAAAUUCGUAGAUAUUCGCAAGAACACCAGUGGCGAAGGCGGACUCACUGGACCGAUACUGACGCUGA